rnacentral:rRNA from 1 species
CCUACGGGUGGCAGCAGUGGGGAAUAUUGGACAAUGGGGGCAACCCUGAUCCAGCGAUGCCGCGUGAGUGAAGAAGGCCUUCGGGUUGUAAAACUCUUUUGUUAGGGAAGAUAAUGACGGUACCUAACGAAUAAGCACCGGCUAACUUCGUGCCAGCAGCCGCGGUAAUACGAAGGGUGCAAGCGUUGUUCGGAAUGACUGGGCGUAAAGGGCGUGUAGGCGGUUCUAUGCGUCAGGUGUGAAAUCCCCGGGCUCAACCUGGGAAUUGCAUUUGAUACGGUAGGACUAGAGAUUGAUAGAGGGUAGUGGAAUUGCGAGUGUAGAGGUGAAAUUCGUAGAUAUUCGCAGGAACACCAGUGGCGAAGGCGACUACCUGGGUCAAUACUGACGCUGAGGCGCGAAAGCGUGGGGAGCAAACAGGAUUAGAUACCCCAGUAGUC